UGAUGCGUGUUCUUUAAGUCCGUUGCUAAAAUUUCUUUGCCACGUUGUGUCUUGAUUUCAGGUUUUUCUGUUCUUGAUUUCUUUCAUACAUUCCUAUAAAUUGGAUGAAUCUAGAUGGGUUUUGCGAUUCUUGAUAAAUUGGAUAACAACAGAGACACGGUUCCAGAUAAAUUGAAUUGAACUAUGAACAUGUUUUUGAAUUCUUGAUUCUAAAGUUUUGUUCGUUCAUAAGAUCCGUUGCUCAGAUUUGUUUGCUUUGGUCAUGUUUUGAUUUCAGGAUUUGAUUUGUUGAUCUGAAGAAGUUUAUUGGAUAUAAUUUUUGAUAAAUUGGAUAACAACAUAGAACGGCUCCAGAUAAAUUUAAUUGAACUGUCAACAUAUCUUUCUUGAUUUGCUCUCGGAUUUUGGUUUCUUAAUUCUAAAAAUUUGAUUUUUCACGUUUCUUGAUUUGUUAUGUUAUCUUGAUGGUUUACUCUGAGAAAUCUUGAUUUCAGGGAUGGCUGUUCUUGUUUUCUUUGAUCUGCUGCUAUAAACUAUUGAUAUGGUUUUCUCAGAUUGUAGAUAUCACACGAUCACACUUCUAUUCACUCUUCUUUUAAAGCAUUGUCGGUUAUCAAUAAUUAUUUGUAUAAUUUUUUGAUAUAAUUCAUCAAUUGAUAAUGAGAGAGCAUUUAUCCGUUUUGCUUUUGCAGUGAGCUGAAAAGUUCGGUGUCUAGAGCGACUCUAUACAAUAGACAAGAUCAGAGAACAGUCCCAGAUAGAUAAAUCAAGAUUUUUUUUCGAUGAAUAUCUGCUUACUAUUUUUUCAGAUUUGAUUUUAAGACGUGCAAAUUAAACUGAACAUGUUUUUCUGCAGAGUGGUUUGUCAAAAUGUUAACCUUCUUCAUUGCAUGGAGAUGGAGGCCAGAAUUUUGGUUUGUGUGUACAAUAUGAAUUCAUAGAGGAAACUAGCUUUCUCUUUUUGUGAAUUGUCGAUAACAAACACUAAUCACUAUUUAUAUAGAUGAAAUCAUAUGAAGAAAAAAUAAAUAAUAAUAAGUAAUAUAAAAUCUAAUCUUUAAAGAUACUAAUAUAAUAUCAAAGAUAUACUAUAGAUAUUUUUGGAUAUUUUAACGGUUUGAUCUUCAUGUUAUGUACUCUUUUGAGGUUUUAUUUGGUUGUUGGUUUUGAUCUUAAAGUUAAGUUUGCUGUUCUAUUUUUAUUGAGCUGCUACUGUUAUUAAGUUUCUUUUUUCAAUUGUUUUGUGAAAGCAGAUGCAUGAUUAUCACCUCUGUGCAGUGUAGUAUGUUUUGAGACAAUUUACUUAAUCAGGUUUAUUUUCGUACACACUACUUGGAUUGUGAAUUAUUUUCAAUUCAUUUAUUCCCCUUGGAGUUUUAUUGUGCAAUCUUCUCGACAAGUCUAUUUUGAUGACAAGUUUAUUGAGGUGUGGUGAAUGUUGGUAUUGAAAAGUUCAGUUGUAGGGUUCCUUAUGCCAUCAAUACAUUUAUGUUUUUGACUUGUAAUAUGACAGUGUGAAAGUUACAAAAUUUUGGAUAAAUUGGGAGUGAACAGCUUAGUGGAGCUCUCUUCCUAACUAUGAUAUCAGGGACUUGGUUCGGAGAAUUAUGCUACUCUUUAUAUAUUCAUAGCUUUUUCUACAACUAUUUGUCACAUCGUGAUUUUAUUGAACAUGUAUGAUGUAUCAUCUGGUGUUCACAGGGUGCCACAGAAGACUUGGUUUGGAGAAUUAUGCUACUCUAUUUAUUCCCUGCUAUCUUGGGUGAGGUUAUCCGAUAAUGGUGAUUCAUCCUUGGGAUAUAUUGGUCUUUAAUUAUUAUAUGUAUAUGAUAUGUUUUUUUUUCCGGAAUAAUUAUUCUUUGAUCAUGUUCAAGAUGGUGUUGAUUGUGUAUCCAGAACCUUUGUACUGCUAUAGCAUAGAUUACAAGAUUUUAGAAUGACUCUUUGGCCUUCCCAAGAUGAGGAAUUUUGGACAACUGAUUCUGAUUAUUAUAAACUUUAUUCUGAUGAUUUGUUUGUUGGUGAUAACUUAACUUUGUUGGGGAGGUUUUCUAAAUCUUCAUUAUUGUUUUGUUGUUUUUAUUGUGAUUUGUGAUUUAUGAUGAUGAUGAUGAUACUCCUAAAAAGAUACCCUCUUCAUUAUAGUGGCCAAAGGACUCUUCAGUAUUUGGAAGAAGCCAAAAUCAUGUCAUUUCAUAUGGGUACAUGAUUGCAAAUUGGAUGGAAAUUUGGUUAACUCUUCUAAGACUCUUCUUUACAUUUCAGUGUUUUUUUUAAUACUCAACACAUAUAAGGUCAGUUCCUUUGAGUUUUCUUUGUGGUUGUUAUAGGGGAGAGCCUAUAAAUGUGGUUGUUAUAGGGGAGAGAGUCUAUAAGUUCACUGUGGAACCCAUGGCAGGCAGAGGUUCACAUACUUACUGUUCAGCUUGGAAUUUUGAAUAGUGUCGUUUUUGUGUAUAUAUGUAUCAGAAUGUAAGUAUGAAUGAAGCAAGGAUGAGAAAUUCGUGACAACGUAGUUUUGCACCAGAAUCUGCAAUUGGCUACUAUUGAUGUGUUUUCAUUUGGUUAUCUCAACUCUGACUAUGCAUUUUUCAUGUUUCUUUGUAUAUUUUGAGGAUAUAGUUUUCUUGAUUACACGGACCUGUUUUUGCUUUGCUGUUACAUAGGAGAGAGCUGUGAAUGUACUGUCGGAUUUUAAAGCUUUGAGCUUUUGGAUUCAACGGGUUACUUUUUUUCCUUGAGUGUUUGUUGUGGAAUAGGCAGUGCUGGUAUUUAUUUAUGUUUAGAAUUAUGAAUCUGAGUAUUAGUAGUGCAUAUCUUUCUUGUAUAAUCAAGAUAUAAGUCUGUUUCUUGUAUACAUUUUGUAGUGAGCUGAUCGAUUUUUGAUUUCUGGAUAUCUGGAACAAUUUGCAAUUAUUGAUGAUAAUGGAUAAGAAUGAUAAUGGCCACAGAUACAUAGAUCAAGUUUCUUCAUUGAAGUCGUUCUCUAUUAUUUUUGUGCUUUCAUUGUAAAAAUACAAAUUGAAUUGUGAACCUGUUUGUCUGCAGUGUGGUUUGGUCAUGUUUUGAUUUCAGGAUUUGAUUUGUUGAUCUGAAGAAGUCUAUUGGAUAUAAUUUUUGAUAAAUUGGAUAACAACAUAGAACGGCUCCAGAUAAAUUUAAUUGAACUGUCAACAUAUCUUUCUUGAUUUGCUCUCGGAUUUUGGUUUCUUAAUUCAUAGCUUUUUCUACAACUAUUUAUCACAUUGUGAUUUUAUUGAACAUGUAUGAUGUAUCAUCUGGUGUUCACAGGGUGCCACAGAAGACUUGGUUUGGAGAAUUAUGCUACUCUAUUUAUUCCAUACUAUCUUGGGCGAGGAUUAUCCGAUAAUGGUGAUUCAUCCUUGGGAUAUAAUUGGUCUUUAUUAUAUGUAUGAUAUGUUUUUUUGCCGGAAUAAUUGUUUUGUUGUUUUUAUUGUGAUUUGUGAUUUAUGUUGAUGAUGAUACUCCUAAAAAGAUACCCUCUUCAUUAUAGUGGCCAAAGGACUCUUCAGUAUUUUGAAGAAGCCAAAAUCAUGUCAUUUCAUAUGGGUACAUGAUUGCAAAUUGGAUGGAAAUUCGGUCAACUCUUCUAAAACUCUUCUUUACAUUUCAGUGUUUUUUUUAUACUCAACACAUAAAAGGAUAAAAGGUCAGUUCCUUUGAGUUUUCUUUGUGGUUGUGAUAGCGGACAGAGACUAUAAAUGUGGUUGUUGUAGGGGAGAGAGCCUAUAAGUUCACUGUGGAACCCAUUGCAGGCAGAGGUUCACAUACUUACUUUACUGUUCAGCUUGGAAUUUUGGAUAGUGUCGUUUUUAUGUAUAUGUAUCGGAAUGUAAGUAUGAAUGAAGCAAGGAUGAGGGAUUCGUGACAACUUGGUUUGGCACCAGAAUCUGCAAUUGGCUACUAUUGAUGUGCUUUCAUUCGGUUAUCUCUACUCUGACUAUGCAUUUUUCAUGUUUCUUUGUAUCUUUUGAGGAUAUAGUUUUCUUGAUUCCAAGGACCUGUUUUUGCUUUGCUGUUACAGAGGAGAGAGCUGUGAAUGUACUGUGGGAUUUGAAAGCUUUUGAGCCUUUGGAUUCAAAGGGUUACUUUUUUCCUUGAGUGUUUGUUCCGGAAUAGGCGUCCUAGUAUGGUGUGGCAGUGCUGGUAUUUAUUAUUUAUGUUUAGAAUUAUGAAUCUGAGUAUUAGUAGUGCAUCUCUUUCUUGGAUAAUCAAGAUAUAAGUCUGUUUUGCAGUGAGUCGAACGCUUGUAGAUCCUUGAUACAUUUUGUAGUGAGCUCAUCGAUUUUUGAUUUCUGGAUAUCUGGAACAAUUUGUAAUUAUUGAUGAUAAUGGAUAAGAAUGACAACGGCCACAGAUACAUAGAUCAAGUUUCUUCAAUGAAGUCGUUCUCUAUUAUUUUUAUUUUUGUGCUUCCAUUGUAAAAUACAAAUUGAAUUGUGAACCUGUUUGUCUGCAGUGUGGUUUGUCAAAAAUGUUCUUUCAUCAAAGCAUGGAGCCUCAAGUUUUGGUUUGCCUAUUUCAUUUUAAAACAUAUUUUCUUUAUAUUUUAUUCCCUCUGGUUAUGCAGGGAUGAUAAGAAGUUUCUUUCUCUUGUUUGAUCUUCAGGUUUUGUAUUCUGAUUGUUUUCUCUUGUUUGAUCUUCCGAUUGUGAGGUUUGAUUUGGUUCUGGCUUUGAUACAUGUUAUUUUCUGCAGUGCAGUGUGUUUUGAAAUAACAACAUUUUAUUAGCAUCAAGUCUCAGGUUUAUUUUGGUACCUCUAUUUGGAAUACGAAUUAUUUUCAUUUCAUUUUUUCUCUGCCGAUUCUUAAUGUCUAGUCUUCUUGAUUUUCUCCUUUAUGAUUUAACCAUUAAUACUUAUUUUUUCUUACAACGAUAGUAGAGAUUUUUUUUUGUUAUUUGUUUGUGUAUUUUGGGACAGCUUGGUGGGCCUCUCUUUGUUAUGCUGAUAUGUGAUUUAGUUUGAAGAAUUAUAUUUUACUUUUCUUUCUUGGAUCUUUUUCUACAACCCGUUUGUUACAGCCUAAUUUUAUUUUUUAUAUGGUAUUAACAAAGUAAGUGUUGUACGGGUUGGUAUACCUCAAGUUUCCUUCUUUCUCAAACACACUGCACUUUUUAAUCUGUCUCAAUUUCUUUGCGCUUUGUGCUGCUUAUCUUCUGUACACUAAUUAAUCUUACACAUGAACCAUAAUGUUCAGCUGUUAUAUAUAUUUUCCUAGGCUUUAAUUUGGUUAUAUGUACUCAUAUCUGAAUUCUUUACAUUUCGUUAUAUUUGUUUCAGCAUCCACGCUUCUUGAUUCCCUUGUGAAAGCUUAUGGUGAGAUUAUCACAUACUUCUCCUUUUAUCUUUGGGAAAUAAUUGUUAAUUGAUAAGUUAUAUUUAUUUCUUCGAGCGUUGAAGCUUCUAUAACAUGAGUUUUACUCGGCUGUUUAGCAUAUAAGAUUCGGGAGUAACUCUUCCUUUCCAAGACGAGGAAUUUUGGACAACUUGGUUAGGUGCAGUUUGUUAUGAUGAUCUGUUUCAUCGGCCCAAGAACUCCCCUGGUAUUAAGGUAGAAGCUUAAAUUGGGACGUUUCAUAUUGAGCACAACAUGAUAUUGCAAAUUGGUGUAGUAUGCUUUAAUUUGGUCAUCCUCUGCUAUAAGAAAGACUUCAUAUUUAUAUCUUUUUGAUGCUCAUCGACUAUUAUGCGAGACAACUAUGAUUGUGUGGUGUACUGUGGACUGUGGCUAGCAGAGGUUAACAUAUUAUCUCUGGCUAUGAAUUCUUCACGUUUCUAUUUCUUGGGGAUUUAGUUUUCUUGAUUCCUAAAGUUUCAUGUGGGUGUCACAGGGAGGAUAUAUGACCAUGGGCUCUUCAUGGAUUUUUUUUUUCUUUUACUUUUUCAGGCUUUCUGUGUUGAAACAAUUGCUUAAGUUUAAUAUGGUGACAAUUAUUGGAUUUUAAGUCAAUUUUACUUGAUUAGUUCUCUGUUGAUUCUUGUUGUUUAUUCUUCUCGAUUUACAGGAGAGAUAUAAAUGAAUGUGCGACUGGCGGAGAUUAUAAAUGGGUUUGCUUUAAUACUAUUUUUUAAGCCUUAACCUUUAUUUUCUUACAAUUGCUUGUUGUGCAUUUGUUUUUACAUGUUUAGAAUCUGUGUAUAUUUUUCACUACUCAAUCUCAGGCCAUGAUUGGCUAACAAGUUAAUACUGACUCAUCUUAUCUUAUAUUUAGCCUGACAAGUCUGUACACGAAAGCACAUACAUCUUUCUAAAUAUACAGUUUCAUAAAUUUUGCAAUGUUGUUUAUAAAUUAAUGUAUUCUUGAAGUGUCAAUUAAUCAUCAAGAACUAACUCAUUAUUUGUACAACUAAAAUGAGAAGAACGAUUCUUAUUAUCAUACUGAAAUUACAAUAUAAUGGUACUCAUUCAAGAUAGAGGCCUACUACAUUGAUUCUUAGAGCUAUAUUUCUUGAUUUUUUGAUCCGUUGACUAGAUUGUUUGCUCCGUCGAGGCUAUAAAUAAACUUACAUUUGUGUAUUUGUUUUGGGAUACUCAGUAUCUACUUUUACAGUUCCUUUGAGUUUUCUGUGUGGGAGAGAGGUACACAUACUUUCCGUUCAACCUAUAAAUGUGUGGUUUGCUAGGGUUCGAAUGGCACGAAAAGGUUCACAUACUUUCCGUUCAGCCUUGGGAUAAAACAAUCGUUUCACUUACACAUGUAUUUGUUUUGGGAUAGUGUUUGGAGCAUGAGUAUGAAACAUUUAAGAUUCCAGAGUAAAUCUCUUUGCCAUCCCCAAGGAUGAGGAACUAGACAAGCUUGGUUUGGCACUUUUUUGUUCUUUUGACUCUUCUUUUAUGGAUUGGUUAUGAAGAAUUCUUUGCAUAAUUAUUAGAUAUAAUUCUUUAUUGGACAAUCCAGAUAUGUGUUUAUUCGUUUUGCAGCGAGAUGAAGUCAUUGGAUAUGUAGAACAUUUUGUGAUUCUUGAUUAAAUGGAUAAGAACAGAUAAUGUUUCCAGAUAAAUCAAUUUUCUUCAACGAGUCAUUCUUUAUAAUUUCUAUUUAUUUGCUUCGAUGGCAAGACAUACGAAUUGAACGGUGAAAAUGUUUUUCUGCAGCGCGCGGCUUCUUCGUAGCAUGGUGCCUAGAGUUUUACUUUGGUGAUCUCUAGUAAAUUCUUUUUGUUUCAAACUUUACUGAUUCUGAGAACAUAUAAUUCAUGAUUUUUUAUUUAUUCUUUUGUGCUGCAGGAGAGGAUAUGAUUUUGAUACCAUCAAACUUCUCUUGACUCUUCUUUAACUGAUAAGAUUUUGUUUUGUAUAAUUUUUUGAUAUAAUUCUUCGUUUGAAAAUCAAGAUAUGUGUUUAUUCGUUUUGCAGUGAGCAGAGAAGUUUUGAUGUCUAUAAUGACUUGAUACAAAGGACAAGAACGGAGAACGAUUCAAUAUAGAUAAAUCCAAUUUCUUCAAUAAGUCGUUCUAUACUAUUUUUAUUUAUUUUUGGGUUUUGAUUUCAAGACGUAUGAAUUAAAGUUUGAACAUGUUUUUCUAGUUUGUCAAAAUAAUAACCUUCUAAUUUGUUAUAGAGAAUCUUCUAUCCUACAUGGGUAUAGGGGAAGCCUUGUGGAGCAGCGAAUAUGCAAUUGGCUGAAGUACUUGUUAUUGUGCUUCCAUUCGGUGAUCUCUUUCCUGAUUAUGAAUUUUUCAUGUUUCUUUGUUUGUUUUGACGAUCUAGUAUACUUGAUUCCUUCAUCAGUUUCUGUGGUGUUACAGGGGUGAGAGACUAUGAAUUACUGUGCGACUUGAAAGUUGUGAUAGAUAUUAUUAAGGAAAUGCUUUGAGCCUUUGGAUAUAGCGGGUCAAUUUUCCUUGAAUGUACUUGUUCUAGAAUAGGUGUCCUAUGCUUUUUAUGUUAAGAAUUACAAAUCUUAAUAUUUGGAGAGAUUCAGUAAUUACUUGUUUUUUGCAGCGUGGUUUGCGAAAAUCAAAAUAAUAACUAUUUUUCAUCAUAACGUGGAGUCCUCAUGUUUUGAUUUUGUUAUCUCUCUUAAAAUAUUUUAGUUUUCAAUAACUCUAUUGCUUUUGAAUGCAUAUUUUCUUAAUAUUUUAUUUCCUCUGGUGUUGCAGGAAAGUAAUUUGUGAACACUGAUUCCUUCUGGUUCUGGUUCUAUAUCUUUCUUUUGUUUGAUAUUCAUGUUUUGUAUUCUUAUUCAUUUCUGAUCUUUUGAUUUGGUUCUGUGCUUUUUACUACUUCUGUAUCCAUGCUUCUCAUUCAUUCUUGGGAUAUAAUUGGUCAUUUUUUUAAUUAUAUGUAUUUGUUCCCAAACGAUAGUUCUUUGAUUGUGUACAAGCUGGUGUUAAAGUUUUUGUGUUUCAUCUAGUGUUGAAGUUGUGUGUUUCAGUAUCCACAACUUUAAAUAACUCUUUUCCCUUUCCAAGAUGAGAAAUUUUGGACAAUUUGGUUACGUCAUAUGUGUUGUUUGCUUUUCUGAGUUGUUUGUUGGCGACAUAAUAACUUUGUUGGGGAAGGUUUUUCAUAAUUUUCUUUUGUUGCUUUUAUUUUGAUUUGUGAUUUGUGAUUUAUGAUGAUGAUACUCCUAAAAUGAUAUCCUCUUCAUUACAGUGGCCCAAGGACAAGGCUUUGGCGCCAAGGUAUACAAUUCAAUCACUUUUCACUUCACUCCUCCUUGAUCACAUACUAACUUGAGCGUUGGAGUGCUAACAUGUUUUGCAGGUACCUUCCCCACCGUGAUCCUCCGUACCAGAAAUUUAACGCCACCGUAACUGCCUUAAGCCUCACCAUUGAAUUUAUCUCAUUCUGAUCUGGUCAGAACACACUGUAUUAGGAGGAAGCCAAAGUUAUGUCAUUUCAUAUUGGAUGGACUUUGUUCCGAUGAAUCAUCAUCUCCAGCAUGCUUUAAUUUGGUCAUCUCUUCUUAGACUCUUCACAUUUUCAGUCUUUUGUUUGAUACUCAGCAUCUACUUUGUCAGUUCCUUUGAAACAUACUGGAGAUAUAAAUCUGUGUUACAGGAGAGAUAACCUAUAAAUCUGUCGUUUGUUGUGGAACCCGUGGCAGGCAGGUUCACAUACUUACCCGUGAAACCGGUCAUUUUUUUUUUCACGUACAUGUGUAUACUUGUUUUUUGAUUUGGGAUAUCGUUGGAUUUUUCGUGUAUCUGUAUUAGGAAAGUGAGUAUGAAGAUUUGGGAUAUCGUUGGAUUUUUCGUGUCUCUGUAUUAGGAAAGUGAGUAUGAAGCAUUUAAGAUUCUAGGGUACAUAUAUCUUUACCCUCCCGAGGAUGCAUAAUUCUGGACAGCUCGGUUUGGAACUUUUAUGUUCAUUUGCCACUUCCUUUGUUAAAAUUGUUUUUCUAUAUUCUUUGUAUUCUUGUCAUUUGUGGUAUAUAAAAUAAUACUAACAAGAAUCUUCUCUCCCAAAUGGGUAUCCCUCACAAAAUUUGUAAUUGAAGAAAGAACUUGGUAUAGGGAAUGGAACACCAGAAUCUACGCUGACUGAAUUCUUCACUUUUUUUGUUUGUUUUGUGGAUCUAAUUUUUUUUAUUCCUUUGUUAGUUUGGCAUAGAUUAUCUAUCAAGGACAUGUUUUUUCUUUGGUGUAACAGGGGGAAGAGGCCAUGAUUGUGUACCGUGGGAUUUGAAAGUUGUGACAGACAUUAUUAAGGAAAUGCUUUCAGCCUUUGGAUUUAACGGGUUAAUGUUCUUGUUUUGGAAUAAUUGUGCUGUGAUGGUGUCGAUUUUUAUGUUCAGAAUUACGAAUCUAAAUAUUAGGGAGAGCUUCAGAGUUACAUAUCCAUAUCUUUCUUGAAUAAUCUUGAGAUAUACAAUCUGUUUUGCAGUGAAUUGAAGUUUGAUAAAAAGAACAUUUGUAGAUACUUGGUACAAUGGAUAAGAAAGGAGAUUCAAGAUAAAUCAUGUUUCUUCAAUGAGUCAUUCUUUACUAUUUAUAUUUUCGAGCUUUGUUCAUAAGACAUACAAAUUAAAUUGUGAAUAUACUAUUCUGCAGAAUGGUUUGACAAAAUAAUGCCGUUCUUCAUAGCGUAGAGCCUCAAAUUUUGAAUUGGAGAUCUUCAGUAAAUUCUUUUCGUUUCAGUGUUUCUAUAUUUUGAGAGCAUAUAUCUCUUUAUUUAGUAAUAUUUUCGAUGGAUUUUCAGGAGAGGAUAUCUAUGAAAACACAAUUCUUCUGGUUCUUCAUUUAUUAUUUUCUAUGGUACUCUGGUCUCUUGAUGUUGAGGUUUGAUUAGGUUAUUGCUGGUUUCGAUCGUGGGGUUUGUUGUUCUUAUAUCAAUGAUCUGCUGCUAUGAAUGAUUUGUAUCGAUUGCCCUUCCAAUUCUCGUUUGAUUAUAUGUGUAGUUCUUUGAUAUAAUUUGUCUUUUGAUAAAUGAACUAUUAAAAAUAAAAGAAUAUUGAGAUAUUCGUUUAUCCAUUUUGCAGCAAGCUGAUCUCUGGAUAUAUGGAACAAUUUGCGAUUAUAAUGGUUAAGAACGAUAAUGGCUACAGAUACAUAAUCAAAUUUCUAGGAUUUGUAAUUCUUAAUUAUUUUUAUUUUUGGGGCUUUGAUUGCAAGACAUACAAAUUGAAUAUUGAACCUGUUUUCAUCAUAGCUUGGAGCCCACAAGUUUUUUCUUGAUAUUUUAUUUCCUCUGAUGUUGCAGGAAGGUCAUUUGUGAACACUGAUUCUUUCUUGAUCUGGUUCUAUCUUUCUUAUGUUUGAUCUUCAUGUUUUGCAUUCUUAUUCCUUUCUGGUAUUUUGAUUAGGUGCUGGCUUUAACCACCUUACAUGUGAAUUUAAAUAAGAUGUUGUUUUCUGCAGUGUAGUGUGUUUUGAAACAAUAACAUUCUGUGUAGUAUUAACUAUCAAGCCUCAGGGUUUUUUUGCUACCAUGUACUUGGAUUGUGAAUUAUUUUCAUUUCAUUUCUAUUCUUUCAUUUCUAUUCUUAUUGUCUAGUCAAAUUGCUUAUUUGUUCAUUUGGCUUUUUUAUCUGAAUUCUGACAGUGAAGAAGUUUACAUGAGGAAUUUGGUGGGCAUGUCGUUGUAAUGCUGAUAUUCUUUCUUCUUUGUUCUUUUCUUUUUUUCCUAGUGUAAUUUUUUUUCUGUAAAUGUAUCAUUGCUAUUGGAGAUGAGUUUCUUUGCCUCUUUGUACACCUUCUGUGAACAAGUUAACAAGGACCCACGAACCAUAAUGUUCUGACAGACGUUUUAUAUAUUUUCUAGGCUUUAAUUUGGCAAUUUGGUGAUCUCUACUCUGAUUAUGAAUUCUUUACAUUUUGGAAUAGUCGUUUCAGCAUCUAUGCUUCUUGAUUCCUUUGUCAAAGCUUAGGGUGAGGUUAUCACAUACUCCACCUUUUAUCUUUGAGUGACAUGUAUUUCUUCCAGUGUUGAAGUUUGUGUGUGUUUCUGUAUCUGUAACUUCAGUUUUACUCUGUGGUUUUGCAUACAAGCUUUUGGAGUAACACUUUCCUUCCCAAGAUGAGUUUGUUAUGAUGAUUUGUUUGUUGCGGAUCAAUUGACUACAGUGGCCCUAGGACUCCUGGUAUUUCCGUUGUUAUUUUUUAUUUGUGAUGUAUACUCCUAAAAAGAUAUCCUCAUGGCUACUGUGGCCGUAGGACUCCCCUGGUAUUAGGUUGAAGCUUAAAUUGUGGCAUUUCAUAUCGAUUACAAGAUAUUCCCAAAUUCGGUAGAAAUUUGUUCCAAUGAACUAUCAUGUUCUGCAGAUUGUGUACUAUGCUUGGUUUGGUCAUCUCUACUAAUAAAGACUCUUCACAGUUCAGAGACUUGUCAAGAUAAAACCAGUAAUUUGGCUUUUGGCAAGCAAGGGUUAACAUCUGUUUGUUUUGAGAUUGGGGGAUGUUUGUCUUUUGAUGGUGUCCUGCUAGUGUUGGUGUUUUUUGUUUUGUUUUUGUAUCAGCUGCAUGAACAUUGAUGCAGACAAGAUUCAAAGUACAUCUCUUUGCCCGCACCAAGGAUGAGGAAUUCUGAACAGCUUGGUUUUGGCUCUAUCUUGUUCUGUUAGUUUAUCACUUCCUUUGUUGUGAUUCUUUUACUAUUUUCUUGUCCUAUUUUUUAUAAGAAUCGUCGCUCCUAAAUGGGCAUCUAUCACAGUGGGAAAGCAUUUGGUGAUUUCUACUCUGACUAUGAACUUCAUGUUUCUUUCUAUUGAAUGUAGUUUUCUUGAUUCCUUAAGUUCCAUGUGGUGUGGGUGUCAUAGGGAGGAUAUGAACUGUGAUGGCUGUUGCUAGAUUAUGAAGUUCUGCUUGGUUGUUACAGUGUAGAUAACCUACGAAUGUAAUGUGGGAUAAAACUGGUCAUUUUUAUUUAAAUGUACUUUUUAUAGAUUGGAAUAGUUAUUUUUUAAUGGUAUGAUGUGUUUAUGUUGAUUUUUGUGUGUUUAUCAGAUUGGGAGAGCUAUAGACUUUGUGAUUCUGUAGUAUAUCUGUGUUUUUCUAGAUGAGGAGCUGAGUAUAUAUGAUUCUGGUGUACAUCUCUUAGCUUGGUUAUUGUGUGAGUUUUAUGUCAUUCACAUUCAUUGGCUCUGGAUAAAUCUAAUUUCGUCAUUGAAUUGUUAUGUAUUUUUUUCUUAGGCUUUGAUCCGGCUUUCUGUGUUGAAACAAUUAAGUUGUCUAUAGUGUCAAGCCUCGAGUAUACGUUAUUGUUCAUUGUUUAUGUAUUGAUUUAUAGGAAAGAUAAAUAUAUGAAUGUGCGACUAUGGCGGAGAUUAUAAUCAGUUGGGGGUUUACUUACCCUUAAUACUAUGCUUUCAUAAAGAUUCUUGUCCUAGAUUUGUUAUUUGUUUGUAUCAUUCCUGAGAAUCCGUAUAACGAGGAUGCCUAAAUUGUGUCAUUUCAUAUUGAGUUUUCUGUGUGGCUGCUAGAUAGCUUAUGAGUUAUGAAUAUGUGUUGUGCUGUGGAGCUCGUGGCAGGUUGAGGUUAACAUACUAUCCAUUCAGUUCACAGCCUUGGGAUCUGUCAUGUUCCUUGUGUCCUGCUAGUCUUGGUGAUUUUGUGUUUCUGCAUCAGGAACAUGAGAACUGAAGCAUACAAGAUUCUAAAGUAUACCUGUUCUCUGGAUUAGGAAUUCUGGACUAAAUUUACUUAAAAGCUGGUUUGGCGCUUUACUUCAUCCAUGUGGUAUAGGUGUGUAGCCUAAAUUUUAUAUUGUUUCACAUGGAGGACCAGAAUCUACAAUUGGUUGUGACAUGCUCUCAUUGCUGCUAUGCUUUCAUUUGGUGAUCUCUACUUUGACCAUGAAUUUUUCAUGUUUCUUUGUCUUUUAUGAGGAUCUAUUUUUCGCAAUUCUUGUGUGAAACUAUGGACAUGGACUGUGAACAUGGACUUGUGAGGUAGUGUGAUUUCUGCUUUGGGAGUUGCAGGGGAGAUAUCCUAUGAAUGUACUGUGGGAAUGAUAAAGUUGUGGUGGACAUUAUGAAGGGCAUUCUGGCAUUAUUUUGGCCUCAUGUCAAAACGGGAUAAAACUAUUGAACGUGUGAUUCUUUUCUGGUUCUAUCUUUCUCAUGAUUGUAUUCUAUCUGGUUGGUGGUUUCGGUUUCUUUUUUGCCUCUGAAGUUUUCUGUACUUGAUUUAUUAAAACUAGUAAUCAUGCUGCUUUCUGUCUUUCUGAUUUCAAUCAGAGUUAUUGUUUGUUCCUUCAAAUUUUUGUGGCUUAUCCAUGAAACUCUAAUGAAAAACAGGAAAGAUUGAAAGUUGAAUUUGCAAAAAGUUGUUUCAUUCUUUACUGACAUAAUCAUCCUUGAGAGCUCAUACUUGGACAGUGCAUCCAAAUUGUGCAACCAAUAGGUGAGAUGUGUUUGUCAUGGUCUGUUGGAAUAAUUAAGAUUUAAUGAUGAUUGUGCAUGCCUACUCUAAAACACAACAUUCUUCAACUGCAAAAUUGGGAUGAGCUUUUUAAUCGGUGUCUGAGAAUAAAGCGAUAUCCCAUAGGCUUCACAAAUAUUAAAGCAGGCCUGAUCAGGAUUUCUUGGACGUGCUUUGAUCGCGUGUGUAACGUAUCAUGAACCUCUUUUAUGCAUAUUAGAACAACCUAGUAUUCAACGAUGAAGCGUCGAGAGCAACAGUAGACCAAUGCUCCAAGAUCACAAAAGACAAAGACACCACAUCUCCAUUGAAACCUUACAACAUUGGGUACAAAGGUCAUCUCUCUUGUAUAUCUAAUUUUUUGUCCAUUCAUUUGUGAGACUUAAUCAUUCGCAUUUGAAACCCAACACUUUUAGGGUUUAAUUUGUAAUGAUUAUUUUGAUAUGAAGUA